GCUCCGGUGGCCUAGUGGUUACUGCGUCCGCCUCGGAUGCGGGAGGUCGUGGGUUUGAUCCCUCGGCCUAGUCACA